CCGGCAAGUCCUGUCAAG
rnacentral:misc_RNA from 1 species